CGUCCAGGAGGGAAACAUACCCAACUACUUCACCUCCCUCAUUUUUUGGUAGAAGCAAAAAAGCUCCUUUUUUCUCCUCCACUUCUCAGAAACCUAGGGAUGUGUUCAAAUAGAAAAGUCUAAUUUAGGUCAAGUUGGGAAUUUAACUCUUCAUCUUUGUUUUCUGGCCACUUUUUGGUCACAGUCGCAACCGCUAUAAGUACCCCAGAGACCCGUCUUUGCUCAUGCGCAGAGAAGUAGUCUUAGAGGAUUCCGGGAGACGAUGCUUUCCUGAGGCCGCACUUCCGGUCGUCGUCCUGGAGCCGCCCUCCGUGUUGGUCCUCUCCGAUUCCUGUCAUCGCCUAUUUACCCCGAGAUUUCGGCGUCCUUAGGGGUGAUGGCGGCCCCCGAGCAAGUCCCGCUGUCGCGGGGCUGCCAGGUACCCUCAACGCCGCCGCUGCCGCGGGCCAACCGGACCCUCCUGGUGCGGCAUUUGCCGGCUGAGCUGACGGCGGAAGAGAAGGAACAUCUUCUGAAGCACUUCGGCGCCCAGGCGGUGCGGGUUCUGUCAGACAAGGGCCGAUUGAAACACACUGCUUUUGCUACUUUCCCUAAUGAAAAAGCAACGAUAAAGGCAUUAUCAAGACUUCAUCAGCUAAAAGUUUUAGGUCACACUUUAGUUGUUGAAUUUGCAAAAGAGCAAGAUCAAGCUUCCUCCUUCUGUCAAACUUCAUAUUCAGAGAAAAAGAAAAGGUCUGAUGAACCUGUGGAAGAAGAUAAAGAAAAAAAAGAGCCAAGUUGUUUGACCAUAGAAAAUGGAAUUGCACCAAAUCAUGGGCUAACUUUUCCUUUAAAUUCGUGCCUCAAAUACCUAUAUCCACCACCUUCAAGCACAAUACUAGCCAACAUAGCAAGUGCCUUGGCAAGUGUGCCUAAGUUCUAUGUACAGGUGCUUCAUCUUAUGAAUAAAAUGAAUUUACCUACACCAUUUGGACCAAUUACUGCCCGACCUCCCAUGUAUGAAGAGUAUAUGCCAGUGCAUGUGCCUCUUCCCCCUGUACCUCCUUUGCCACCUGAAGAACCUCCCAUGCCAGAAGAAGGUGAAGGAUCUAGUGGAGAAGAAUCAGAAUAUGAAAGUGGUGAUGAUGAAGCCCGAGAGAGGAUGACAAAACUAAUGGAAUUAGCUAAUUUUCAACCCAAAAGACCAACAACUGCAAAGCAACGCCGUGUAAGGAAAAGGCAAAAGAUAAAGGACAUGUUGAAUAUACCUACAUCUACUUCACAUAGUAAUUUACACCCAGCACUGUUGCCUUCAGAUGUGUUUGAGCAGCCGCAACCUGUAGAGCAUAAAAAAAUAGAAUUCAACAUAUCUUCAGGGAUACCAACUUCAUUUGUAAAAGAUUUAGAAGGAGAACAAAAUAGUGAUUUGUCUGCUCCUGGAGAUACAACAAAUGAGGGUUUUGGAAAGAUCUUUCCAACUCCUAUUCUGAAUGACAAAGAGGAGAUUCAAGAAGACUCAGAUGAAAUACCAGCAGAAUUUGUCUCUAGAAAAGAAUUGGAAAAAGGAAGAAUUUCUAAAGAAGAAAUGGAAACACUUUCAGUUUUCAAAAGUUAUGAACCAGGAGAUCCAAAUUGUAGGAUUUAUGUAAAGAAUUUAGCAAAGCAAGUUGAAGAAAAUGAUCUUAAGUUUAUUUUUGGAAGAUAUGUUGACUUUUCAUCCCAAACAGAACGAAUCAUGUUUGAUAUACGCUUGAUGAAAGAAGGUCGCAUGAAAGGUCAAGCUUUUAUUGGAUUUCCAGAUGAAAAAGCAGCAGCUAAAGCUUUAAAAGAAGCUAAUGGAUAUGUACUUUUUGGAAAACCCAUGGUGGUGCAAUUUGCUCGAUCUGCUAGACCAAAACAAGAUCCUAAAGAUGGAAAAAGGAAAAGAUAGAUAAUUGCUAAAGAAGCAUUCCUGCGUAAAUACUGCAGUAAUACUGUCAUGCAAAGUGUAUCCUUUCUUGUUGUAUCCUUUUUUGGGCAGUGCUUUUCUCUAGAAAUCUUUUAUUUUAAUCUUUUUUCCCUGAUGUAGAUUUGAGAUUAACUUUUCAUUCUAGAAAUAAUAUAUUUCAAAAUUGUUUGAUGUAGGUUGAAGAAAAUUUGAUAUUCCUUCUAGAUUUGUUUAAAUUUGUCUAUGAUGUGCUUUAUUUUUAGAAAAUUCAUUCCAGGGAAAGUUAGUGAAUCAGGUCAUCAAAUUUACUAAAGAGAUACUAACAGUUGCUUUAAUUCAGAAUAUGAUGUUAGCUCUUGAUAUUUGUCUUCUUCCUGAAAUUUAAUUAUUGUAAUUUAUGGACUUGGUGGUUUUGAAAUACCUGGUUUGGGUCUUUUUUAUAUUUUUUUUUGCAGUGUAGUACAUGAAAUAUGUCAGUACUGAUUGGAUGAAAAACUAAAAAUUUAGUCUUUAAAAGAUAUUACAGAAAAUCCAUGCAGAAGUUGAUUUCUAAAGAUUGUCUUCUUAUUGGCUUUUUAAGUGUUAUAAUUGCCAAAUGACACUUUCACUGUUCACCACCUGAAACCUAGGGUGUCAAAUUUUUGAAAUCCCUACUUUAAGUAGAUAACAAGUAGAAUCAUCCAUUACUAGGAUAAGAGAUAAAUGGAAAUGUCAAUUUUUUUUUUGGUGAAUACAUAAUUGAAACAAAUAAUAUAUUUGCUUAUGUUGAUUAAUGGUGGCAGCCACAGUAUGUCUGCCAAAUGUAAUGUAUAAUAAUAACCUGUCAGUUGCCAAAACGCUUUACCUGACCAUUUCUUAACCUUAAAGGUUGGUCAAAUAGAAGGUAUGUAAUCUUUCCUUGCACCCCGAGUCUGGCACAAAGCAUAUACUUAAUAAAAUGCAUUUUGAUUGAAUUGGCAUAGUACAGUGGAUACUGUGCUUAAUAAUUGUUGAGUAAAAACCCACUUUUUCCCAUCCUCAACCUCUUGAAGACAUUGGUAAUACUCAUCAAACCAAACUUUUUCAACUGAUAACUUCAUAAGUUCUAAAAACAAUCUAGGCUAUAGUUGUUUAGUCGUCCCUGAAACGUUUAGAAUGGGGAAAAAAAGACCAAUAUAGAGAAAAUAAAUUGAAUUCAUAUAAUAUUCAUCUAUAUUGUUGUAUGAGAACCUUAAACUAUAUUUAAUUUUAGUGCUUUAAUUCACAAUUUAAUUUAUAUAAACUGAUUACCUAUGAAAAUUAUUCUGUCAAAUUGACAUGAUUCACUAAUUUUCUGAAUAUUGAAAUUUUAACUUUCUAAUAUAUUUAUAAAAUACAAAUAUCUAUUUCUACUAAAAUAAUUUUCAUUUUUGAUGGGCUUUUAUGGUGUUUUAGGUUCCUUUUGAAUUCCAUAUCUUUCAAGCAUUCUCCAGCUUUGAGAAGAAGAAACUUGACGAUCUGGACUUUUGAAUUGAAUGAAGGCCCCCAUACAGGAACCCAUAAACCUCUUCCUGUGCAUUGUCUCCUGUGAAGUCCAGAACAUUCUACUCUACUCUUUUUUCAUACCAACCUUGCUGACGUCGAGCUCCAGUCUUGUCCGUGACCCUCUAUCUACACACGUCUCCCUCCGAACCCUUCGAUCACGUUUCAACUUCAUGGACCAUGAAGGGACACAUAAGAGGGAUCUCCAGGCUGCCAUAGUGGAUGGAAUGCUGGACUUGAAUGGGGGGCAGCUGGGUGGCUCAGAGGAUUGAGAGCCAGGCCUAGAGACAGGAGAUCCUAGGUUCAAAUCUGGCCUCAGAUACUUCCCAGUUGUGUGACCUUGGGCAAGUCACUUGACCCCCAUUGCCUAGCCCUUAC